GAAAUUUAACAGGGGUGCCUAACAUAACAGGCUGAGAUUAUACCCUACGAACCUGAUGCAGGUAAUGCUGACGAAGGGAGUACAAGGUGAAUACAU
rnacentral:ncRNA from 2 species